rnacentral:misc_RNA from 1 species
CCGAGUUAGGGUCUUAUAGGCCCGACCUCCAACCCUUUGUUUACUAUACCAUGUUGCUUUGGCGGGCCCGCCUUUCGGGGCCGCCGGGGGCUUUCAUACCCUUGGUCAGUGCCUGCCAGUAGCCUUAUUAAAUUCUUUUUAUAAUUAUGUUGUCUGAGUAUAAAUAUAAAUCGUUA